AGAUUGAACGCUGGCGGCAGGCCUAACACAUGCAAGUCGAGCGGUAGAGAGGUGCUUGCAUCUCUUGAGAGCGGCGGACGGGUGAGUAAUGCCUAGGAAUCUGCCUAGUGGUGGGGGAUAACGUUCGGAAACGGACGCUAAUACCGCAUACGUCCUACGGGAGAAAGCGGGGGACCUUCGGGCCUCGCGCCAUUAGAUGAGCCUAGGUCGGAUUAGCUAGUUGGUGAGGUAAUGGCUCACCAAGGCGACGAUCCGUAACUGGUCUGAGAGGAUGAUCAGUCACACUGGAACUGAGACACGGUCCAGACUCCUACGGGAGCAGCAGUGGGGAAUAUUGGACAAGUGGGACGAAAGCCUGAUCCAGCCAUGCCGCGUGU
rnacentral:rRNA from 1 species